rnacentral:rRNA from 1 species
UCAAGUGAAGAAGCGCAUACGGUGGAUGCCUUGGCAGUCAGAGGCGAUGAAAGACGUGGUAGCCUGCGAAAAGCUUCGGGGAGUCGGCAAACAGACUGUGAUCCGGAGAUAUCUGAAUGGGGGAACCCAGCCAUCAUAAGAUGGUUAUCUUGUACUGAAUACAUAGGUGCAAGAGGCGAACCAGGGGAACUGAAACAUCUAAGUACCCUGAGGAAAAGAAAUCAACCGAGAUUCCCUUAGUAGUGGCGAGCGAACGGGGACCAGCCCUUAAGUUGUAUUGAGAUUAGCGGAACGUUCUGGAAAGGACGGCCAUAGUGGGUGAUAGCCCUGUACGCGAAAAUCCCUUUGCAAUGAAAUCGAGUAGGACGGGGCACGAGAAACCUUGUCUGAAUAUGGGGGGACCAUCCUCCAAGGCUAAAUACUACUGACUGACCGAUAGUGAACCAGUACCGUGAGGGAAAGGCGAAAAGAACCGCGGAGAGCGGAGUGAAAUAGAUCCUGAAACCGUAUGCGUACAAGCAGUGGGAGCCCACUUUGUUGGGUGACUGCGUACCUUUUGUAUAAUGGGUCAGCGACUUAUUUUCAGUGGCGAGCUUAACCGAAUAGGGGAGGCGUAGCGAAAGCGAGUCUUAAUAGGGCGUCUAGUCGCUGGGAAUAGACCCGAAACCGGGCGAUCUAUCCAUGGGCAGGUUGAAGGUUGGGUAACACUAACUGGAGGACCGAACCGACUACCGUUGAAAAGUUAGCGGAUGACCUGUGGAUCGGAGUGAAAGGCUAAUCAAGCUCGGAGAUAGCUGGUUCUCCUCGAAAGCUAUUUAGGUAGCGCCUCAUGUAUCACUGUAGGGGGUAGAGCACUGUUUCGGCUAGGGGGUCAUCCCGACUUACCAAACCGAUGCAAACUCCGAAUACCUACAAGUGCCGAGCAUGGGAGACACACGGCGGGUGCUAACGUCCGUCGUGAAAAGGGAAACAACCCAGACCGUCAGCUAAGGUCCCAAAGUCAUGGUUAAGUGGGAAACGAUGUGGGAAGGCUUAGACAGCUAGGAGGUUGGCUUAGAAGCAGCCACCCUUUAAAGAAAGCGUAAUAGCUCACUAGUCGAGUCGGCCUGCGCGGAAGAUGUAACGGGGCUCAAACCAUGCACCGAAGCUACGGGUAUCAUCUUAUGAUGAUGCGGUAGAGGAGCGUUCUGUAAGCCUGUGAAGGUGAGUUGAGAAGCUUGCUGGAGGUAUCAGAAGUGCGAAUGCUGACAUGAGUAACGACAAUGGGUGUGAAAAACACCCACGCCGAAAGACCAAGGUUUCCUGCGCAACGUUAAUCGACGCAGGGUUAGUCGGUCCCUAAGGCGAGGCUGAAAAGCGUAGUCGAUGGAAAACAGGUUAAUAUUCCUGUACUUCUGGUUAUUGCGAUGGAGGGACGGAGAAGGCUAGGCCAGCCUGGCGUUGGUUGUCCAGGUUUAAGGUGGUAGGCUGAGAUCUUAGGUAAAUCCGGGAUCUUAAGGCCGAGAGCUGAUGACGAGUGUUCUUUUAGAACACGAAGUGGUUGAUGCCAUGCUUCCAAGAAAAGCUUCUAAGCUUCAGGUAACCAGGAACCGUACCCCAAACCGACACAGGUGGUUGGGUAGAGAAUACCAAGGCGCUUGAGAGAACUCGGGUGAAGGAACUAGGCAAAAUGGCACCGUAACUUCGGGAGAAGGUGCGCCGGUGGAGGUGAAGCAUUUACUGCGUAAGCCCCUGCCGGUCGAAGAUACCAGGCCGCUGCGACUGUUUAUUAAAAACACAGCACUCUGCAAACACGAAAGUGGACGUAUAGGGUGUGACGCCUGCCCGGUGCCGGAAGGUUAAUUGAUGGGGUUAGCGCAAGCGAAGCUCUUGAUCGAAGCCCCGGUAAACGGCGGCCGUAACUAUAACGGUCCUAAGGUAGCGAAAUUCCUUGUCGGGUAAGUUCCGACCUGCACGAAUGGCGUAACGAUGGCGGCGCUGUCUCCACCCGAGACUCAGUGAAAUUGAAAUCGCUGUGAAGAUGCAGUGUAUCCGCGGCUAGACGGAAAGACCCCGUGAACCUUUACUAUAGCUUUGCACUGGACUUUGAAUUUGCUUGUGUAGGAUAGGUGGGAGGCUUUGAAGCGUGGACGCCAGUCUGCGUGGAGCCAACCUUGAAAUACCACCCUGGCAACUUUGAGGUUCUAACUCAGGUCCGUUAUCCGGAUCGAGGACAGUGUAUGGUGGGUAGUUUGACUGGGGCGGUCUCCUCCUAAAGAGUAACGGAGGAGUACGAAGGUGCGCUCAGACCGGUCGGAAAUCGGUCGUAGAGUAUAAAGGCAAAAGCGCGCUUGACUGCGAGACAGACACGUCGAGCAGGUACGAAAGUAGGUCUUAGUGAUCCGGUGGUUCUGUAUGGAAGGGCCAUCGCUCAACGGAUAAAAGGUACUCCGGGGAUAACAGGCUGAUACCGCCCAAGAGUUCAUAUCGACGGCGGUGUUUGGCACCUCGAUGUCGGCUCAUCACAUCCUGGGGCUGAAGCCGGUCCCAAGGGUAUGGCUGUUCGCCAUUUAAAGUGGUACGCGAGCUGGGUUUAGAACGUCGUGAGACAGUUCGGUCCCUAUCUGCCGUGGACGUUUGAGAUUUGAGAGGGGCUGCUCCUAGUACGAGAGGACCGGAGUGGACGAACCUCUGGUGUUCCGGUUGUCACGCCAGUGGCAUUGCCGGGUAGCUAUGUUCGGAAAAGAUAACCGCUGAAAGCAUCUAAGCGGGAAACUUGCCUCAAGAUGAGAUCUCACUGGAACCUUGAGUUCCCUGAAGGGCCGUCGAAGACUACGACGUUGAUAGGUUGGGUGUGUAAGCGCUGUGAGGCGUUGAGCUAACCAAUACUAAUUGCCCGUGAGGCUUGACCAU